GGUCUUAUGGCGCAAUUGGUUAGCGCGUCCGGCUGUUAUACACACUUCAAAAUUCUGUAUACCAGAGAACCGGGAGGUCGGAAGUUCGAGCCUUCCUAGGACCG